CAGUCGCCGCGGGAAUACGUAGGGUGCAAGCGUUAAUCGGAAUUACUGGGCGUAAAGCGUGCGCAGGCGGUUAUGUAAGUCAGAUGUGAAAUCCCCGGGCUCAACCUGGGAACUGCAUUUGAGACUGUAUGGCUAGAGUGUGUCAGAGGGGGGUAGAAUUCCACGUGUAGCAGCGAAAUGCGUAGAUAUGUGGAGGAAUACCGAUGGCGAAGACAAUCCCCUGGACCUGUACUGACGCUCAUGCACGAAAGCGUGGGGAGCAAACAGGAUUAGAUACCCCUGUAGUCCCUGUCUCUUAUAC
rnacentral:rRNA from 1 species